AUUGAACGCUGGCGGCAGGCCUAACACAUGCAAGUCGAGCGGAUGAAGGGAGCUUGCUCCUGGAUUCAGCGGCGGACGGGUGAGUAAUGCCUAGGAAUCUGCCUGUAGUGGGGGAUAACGUCCGGAAACGGGCGCUAAUAACGCAUACGUCCUGAGGGAGAAAGUGGGGGAUCUUCGGACCUCACGCUAUUCGAUUAGCCUAGGUCGGAUUAGCUAGUUGGUGGGGUAAAGGCCUACCAAGGCGACGAUCCGUAACUGGUCUGAGAGGAUGAUCAGUCACACUGGAACUGAGACACGGUCCAGACUCCUACGGGAGGCAGCAGUGGGGAAUAUUGGACAAUGGGCGAAAGCCUGAUCCAGCCAUGCCGCGUGUGUGAAGAAGGUCUUCGGAUUGUAAAGCACUUUAAGUUGGGAGGAAGGGCAGUAAGUUAAUACCUUGCUGUUUUGACGUUACCAACAGAAUAAGCACCGGCUAACUUCGUG
rnacentral:rRNA from 1 species